AAGAGAUAUAACAAAAAAUCCAGAAAGACUAGAGGUGCAGCGCAAACCGAAGGACAUCAGUUUAACCAACUAAACUGAAAAUGGCGCUACAAAUCCACACUCCAUCUUCCUUCACUAACGGUCUCUAUCAUCGCAACUUCAUCUUCCCAAAACCUAGAUUUUCGAUCAAAUCCCAGAAGCCUACCGUUGACGCCGACCCCACUCCUGAGCCCAGCUCCACGCCCAAGAAGCCCGCCGCUCCGGGCCAAGGGUUUGGCUCCUCCUCUCCUUCCUCUUCUUCAUCGUCACCCUCAGGCAAGUCAAGCAUAAGCAGCGGAAAGAAGAAGCAGAAGGGAAAAAGAGAGAGGGCUUCGAUAAUAAGGCGGUCGCCGGUUGAGAAACCUGCGUUUGUGAGCAAAGAAGAAGAGGCUCAAGCUGACGAACAGAGAAAAAAUGAGAGUGCCUUUUUACUGGCGUGGUUAGGGCUUGGUGGGGUCAUACUUGUGCAAGGCAUUGUUCUUGCUGCUUCAGGCUUCCUACCAGAAGAGUGGGAUAAGUUCUUUGUGAAUUACUUGUACCCAUCUUUCACCCCAACUGUUCUCUUGUUUCUUGCUGGAACUGUUGCAUAUGGAGUGCUGAAGUAUCUGCAAAAUGAGAAUCUUAAGGACCAAAAUUAGAUACAUCAUUCCAAUUAUCUGAUAUUUCCAAAUUGUAAGAGCAGACUGCUGUCAUGAAAAGCAAUCCGUUGUUUUCAGUGUUUCAUCCAAUGGAGUUCAAUGGGAUGUUGAGUUCCUAUACAUGUACUUGCUGGCAACGAUGCAUGGAAGUUUACUAUAUAUGCUCUGCUUGUCAGAGUUACAAUCAUGAGGUAUUCUUUUUACUUCUUUUUUGGUACUUAGGACAAACACAAAGGGGGAGCGGAGAUUCAAUCCUUGGAUCUCAAAACUCCUAAGGAAGGUAACAACCGCUAGGCUUAGCCUGAGUUGUUCGUAAGGUAUUCUAUUUGUUGGUUCCAUAGUUUUUCUUUUUCCUUUCUGUGAAAGAGCAAUUGUCUUCAGGUGUAUACAUAAGGGCCAAUGCAGUUGAUGAAUGUGAGAUCUCUGGCCUGGAAAAUCUGGAAGAAGUGUCCACCUCAUCUAGAUUAUAAAGCUACAGCAUUUUCAGCAUCUGAAUAUGACACAUGGAAAGUUAGACUUUUUAGUUUUUACUUUUCUUCAAGGUAACCCCUGAGAUUUUGAGCCCGUUUGCUAACAUCGGGCACUAGUAGGCCCCAUGAAAAAUCAGGAGGUCAGUGCAGUGAGGAACCCCGCCUCCCCCCACCACACUGCCCUGUGCAACCAUAUGGGCCUUUAGUGUUCUUGUAGUUGUGCUGGAUCCACCAUGUCUUAGGAAAAAGAGUAUGGAAUCCAAAGAGAGAUUGGAUGAAAAAGGUCGUGUGCAUCAAUAUCGUGAAAAAACCAAGCAGCUUAGUUGUCGAUCAUCUAGAACUAUGUACAUUUUUUUUAAUGUUUCGAAAUUAUUCACAUGAGGCAAAGCACUAAAUUUCACAGUGCUUGAUUUUGCUAUCAUGCUUUAUGGAAUUUAUAUAAUUUUGUUGUCAUCAACAUUAAUAAGGAUCAACAAUUCACCUAUUCAUAUCACUGUAUUUUUUGGUUGAUAAGGUCACGUCACUUCAAUGAUGUUGCAUGAAGCAUGUAUUUCCCUCAUUGGUUAAUUCUUAUAAAUAUAAUUUCUAUACUGUUUGACUUUGCAUAAUUUACUUUGCAAUGAGAAACGACCAUCUUCUUUCCGGGAUUGCUUUAUUUGUUUAAGGAGCUAUAAGCCGAUAACUAUGUCUACAUCUCUCUCUCUCUCUAUGCCUGUGUAAUGAAGUGUUGUUAUUUAUUUAUGUCAUGUUGCAGCUAUUGGAUCAAAAUUGGUGGUUGACUAAUGUUUUGCUGAAAUUUUCUUUUCUUCAUUUUGUCGAAGAAUUAGUAAGAGUAGUUUUAAUGGUUAUUUUAAAACAUCAAUUUUAUUAAUAAUGUUGUUCAUCUAACUAUGGCUUUAGUCACUAUUUGCUUCUCUUGGGUAAUUGUAAAUAUCGAUAAUGUGUGACUGAUAAGUUUUAAUUGGUCUUCCAACUACAGCUUUGUCUAAUUGCACGAAGGUCACCUUGGAUUGAUCACAUAAAAGCUCAUGCCUUGUUUCCGGGAAAGGCCUAAAUCUCCUGAUGGUAGCCUGGUAGGUCACAUCAUAUGCAAUACAUGAUUAAAUGAUAGAAUUGCUAGCCUUCAAUUUGGAAAUGAGCUAAUAAGUAGUUUUACUUUGUACCAGAAAUUUUAAAGGUAGACAGAGAGGCUAACUAAAUAGGAAGUAAUUGCAUUAAUAUACAUAGCUGGAGUCCAUGAGAUAUAUUUAUUUAUUUUCUGUUCCAAUAUCUUAGAUUCCUUUAAGAAAGAAAAAGUUAUGAUUGUAAAACUUAUUACAGUUGAACCAAAAAAGUGAAGCCCUUGGGUGGAAGAGUUUUAAUACUCUGUAUUAUAUCUCUUCUGACAGACAUCCAUUCUUGAAUAUGCAAAUGCCCCUCUUCUCUUCUAGUGUACCACUUAAAAGCCUGGAAUCAUUAAAAUUACUCAUUGUUCUUGAGGAGUUAACUUAUGGACUGUCUACCAGUUGUUUGAUUAGGUCUCAUCAUGAUUGAACUCCACAUGCUGGUGCAAAACUCAAAUUUAGUGGAUAUAUUUUAAGUCUCAUUUGGUCCUGGCUGCAUAAGAAGGAUGUUCUGAUUCCUCUGUUGCUUAUUUUGACUUUCACUUUCUAUCCUAAUUCCUUCAUCAAUUGGAGCAUUAGUUUCCCAACUCUUUCUGCAAGUUCUCUUCUUUUCUCUUCUAUUAAUAUUGACUGCCCCCCUUUUUUUAUCCUUGACCGGUUUUGUUGAUCCUAGCUCAAAGCUUCAGCUACUCCUUAAUGAUGUUGAACAAUCACUGUUUUCUUUUUUAAUUACAAUCCGUAAAUAGCACAUAAUAAUCAAAAAGCAAAAUGGAUAUUUUACUAAACAGGCAUGGCCGUUAUUCUUAUCUUAGCAUGGAGUCUCUACCUCCUUUGUGCAAUUGCCCUGCAGCUAUGAAGAUGCUCAGCAACCUCCUAAUAUCUACAAAGUUGUUGUAAAGCUCUGGAAGUAAUAAAAUAUAUGGGUUAAACUGUAGCAUAAGGCAUUCAAUUGAUUGAGCCUACCUUUUAUUUUGGUGGACUUUGCUCAGUGAUAAUCAUCAGCCAUGACACGUGAUGGAGCAGUUGUAUAUUAGAAGCAAAAUUUAUGAUCAUUUUCUUUGUUCUGGUAAGAUAUUAAUAUUGGUUAAUGAGCAGCCCCUGCUCUUUUAUUGAUGUAUUAUCUCUCUGAGCUGUCGCCUCACACUCUUAUCUGUUUAUGCUCUCUUCUGACUAGAAUUACUCUCACAAACAUGCUGCUUGAUUUUUGCUAGUCAGUGAUCUAGCUGAAAUAGAGAAGGAAAACUUUCUCCAGCAUAUAAUGAGCAAUAUUACAUAAUAGCCUCUCUUUACUAUCAUGGGGACACAAUUGAGUAAAGAACUUUCACCAUUGCUUCACCUAAAAAAAAGAAAAAAGAACUUCCACCAUUGAUUUUCCAUGCUUUGGAAAGGAUGGUUUCAAUAUUAGGAAGUUCCAUAUAUUGUUGCAUUCAGGCUUAUCUAAAGCAAUGGUUCACAACAAACAUCGAGUUAGCAAUACAACCAGAUGUUAGAAGCUUCUUUAUAUGUUCUCUACCUGGAAGAGAUGCUAUUGCAAGAGUUGCAGGCAUAGUCAUGAGGGAACAGGGUAGAAGGCGAAUGGCUAUAAUAACUGUUUAUAGGUACAUUGAUGUAUUUUCUGUCCGUAUAUGGCCUUCUUCAUAGCCAUACGUUUAAAUACCCCAUCCAAGGAAAAGGGGAAGAAGAAAAUCAUUGAAGUGCUGGUGCAUUCUGUCAGGGGUGAGAAAAUGCAUCAACCAAAACUGACGGGAGAAAAUUUGGUCAGAUGGAUGCAUAUGGGGCAUUAAAGGAUGGAUGACUCUACAAGCAACAGAGACGCACAAUAAAAGAUCAAUGUCUCCACUAAGUUUGAAACUACUAACAAGUGUUGUUCUUUCACCCGAGAGACCGGCGGGAGAUCAGAUCAGGUAACUUGUCAUUCGAACCUAGUCAACUUAAGAUGUUGAAAACUAUCUGAAUUCCCCAAAGGUCAUGCUGCUUGUUGUUUGUCCCACAAAGAGCAUCUCAAGAUCAUCUGUUUUUUGGACCACCAAAUGAUUAGAUCAGCGCGUACCGGUUGGUUUCAGUUGCUCCAAUCCGAUUCAGUGUUCGGCUAACUGCGUCACUUCACCAAAGUCGUGUGAAAAAUGGGAUGACAUUGAGACCUUGGAGGUCCCCAUGUUCUAAUAAUUGCUCCUCUUCCUCUUUCAAUGCUAAUCAAUUUGCACCAACUCCUUUACCAAUCUUUUUCAUUCUCUUUUCUUCCUUCUUUUCGGUAUUUAAGAGUUUUAUUUUCAAAAGGGUAAAUCAAUAAAAAGCCAAAGCAGUCCGCGACAUCCUCCUAAGGCCACACCACAGAAGGUGAAGAAAUCAAGUAGUAGAACCAUGUUAUUGACCAUAAAGUGAAAAAAAGGAUGCAAUGCAAGCUAGUUUUUUUCAGGAGUAACUUUGUCUUUGCUUUCGAAUUGGUUUUCACACGUUUGUUUAAACCAGUUUCAUUCAACCACUUGAAGGAAGAUGAUGAAAGGUUUAAGGAAGAGGAAGACAAGGUUGUAGGCCAUAUCGGCAUGGCUCAUAUUUUAUUUGCAAUAAGGGGUUUGUCGUAGGUCAAAAGAUUCAAGCUUUCAUGCGCCGCUGCCCCAUCCUCAACUUUUCCACUUUCAGCCAGUCUUCACCUACUCUCUGAGUGAUUCCAAAAUUUCAAGAAAUGUGGGUAAAAUUCUUGUCUUCUUUCCUCUAAAACUGAAACUUGAUAUGAGAUCCAGCUGGUUUUUACCUAAAAUAUCUUUGUUUCAAUCUUGAAAAUACACUACUAGUGAUGGAGAAGGGGCCCCUUUCAA